rnacentral:tRNA from 1 species
GGUAGGGUGGCUGAGUAAGCGGUGGAUUGUAGCCCCACAUACAGAGGUUUAAGCCCUCUUCCUAUCA